rnacentral:tRNA from 1 species
GCCCCCGUAGCUCAGGUGGAUAGAGCGACGGUUUCCUAAACCGCAGGUCGGCCGUUCGAAUCGGCCCGGGGGCA